rnacentral:rRNA from 1 species
CCCUUAGACGUUCUGGGCCGCACGCGCGCUACACUGACCAGUGCAACAAGCAUCCGUCCUUGGCCGACAGGCUCGGGCAAUCUUUGAACGCUGGUCGUGAUGGGGAUAGACUUUUGCAAUUUUUGGUCUUCAACGAGGAAUUCCUAGUAAACGCAAGUCAUCAACUUGCAUUGAUUACGUCCCUGCCCUUUGUACACACCGCCCGUCGCACCUACCGAUUGAAUGGUUCGGUGAAGCCUCCGGAUUGGCGCGCACCUCGGUGCCGCCGAGAAGUUGGCUAAACCUUACCAUUUAGAGGAAGGUGAAGUCGUAACA